rnacentral:lncRNA from 1 species
UUAGACACAAGCCUCAUCAUUAGGCGUUAGCCACCUAACCUUCACGACUUGGUGCGCUAGAUCUGAAACCUGUGAAUCUACAUAAAACGAUAGAAAUAGUGAAUCAAACGUAGACAAAAAUAAGUCAACACGAACUAAAGCUAGCCAAAGACUAUUGGGCUUGAGAAUACGAGUUACUGUGAACUCAAGAAAACACGAGCCUCUAUUGACUCGAAGGGGUUUAUUAUUCCGAAAAAGACUCCUUUAAACUAGAAAAAGUAGUCGAAUUUGGUGAACAGGAAAGAGCAUCAUUGUACCGAUUAAAAAAAGAGAAGGAAAAAAGAGAUGAAAAGACAUGAGGAAGAGAAAAGGAAAAAAGGAGGUGGAUGUUGGUCAAACGCGGUCAGAAAUGGUUAGGAGGCAAUAAGGAAUUCGACCAAC